CUGUUCCCAGGUUAUGGAUUUGUCUGGAAAGUCUAUGCCUCUUUUUUGUGCACUGACCACCUUGUCUGUAUAAUUCUUACAGGGUGUACUUUUGAAAGCACAUUGGUUCUGGACUCCAAAAAUGGAUCCUUCAAGAACACAGGAUAAUUCCUACAAAGAGCUGCCUUUCUCCAUUCUGAUUUGGACUCUCUGAGAUCUGCAUGGCAAUAAACAGCUGUCAUUACUGGGUACUGGACACGAUCCCAAGCCACACUGCUAAGGGCAACGUGCGGAAGCCUGGUAUCUGACUAAUGCUCACCAAGUGUUACAAGGCUUGAGCAGAGGGAAAUAUGCAACCCUGUGACCCUGACUCAGAAUAGCCAAACUCCAUCUGCUCUGAAACUUUAAAUGGUAAGAAUGCCUCCAUUUCUUACUGGACAUAUUUGGAGGUAAGGACUGGCAAUGACUGCU
rnacentral:lncRNA from 1 species